rnacentral:rRNA from 1 species
CAGUAGCCGCGGUAAUACAGAGGAUGCAAGCGUUAUCCGGAUGAUUGGGCGUAAAGCGUCUGUAGGUGGCUUUUCAAGUCCGCCGUCAAAUCCCAGGGCUCAACCCUGGACAGGCGGUGGAAACUACCAAGCUGGAGUACGGUAGGGGUAGAGGGGAUUUCCGGUGAAGCGGUGAAAUGCGUUGAGAUCGGAAAGAACACCAACGGCGAAAGCACUCUGCUGGGCCGACACUGACACUGAGAGACGAAAGCUAGGGGAGCAAACAGGAUUAGAUACCCCAGUAGUCCCUGUCUCUUAUACA